AGUAACUGUGCACAUCUUGACGGUACCUAAUCAGAAAGCCACGGCUAACUACGUGCCAGCAGCCGCGGUAAUACGUAGGUGGCAAGCGUUAUCCGGAAUUAUUGGGCGUAAAGCGCGCGUAGGCGGUUUUUUAAGUCUGAUGUGAAAGCCCACGGCUCAACCGUGGAGGGUCAUUGGAAACUGGAAAACUUGAGUGCAGAAGAGGAAAGUGGAAUUCCAUGUGUAGCGGUGAAAUGCGCAGAGAUAUGGAGGAACACCAGUGGCGAAGGCGACUUUCUGGUCUGUAACUGACGCUGAUGUGCGAAAGCGUGGGGAUCAAACAGGAUUAGAUACCCUGGUAGUCCACGCC
rnacentral:rRNA from 1 species